rfam:Stegodyphus mimosarum contig103321, whole genome shotgun sequence.
GCCUUCGUAAUGUAAUGGUCAACAUACUCGGUGCGUAUUCGAGAGAUCCAAGGUUCGAGUCCCGGCGAGGGCA